AACUCUGGUAUUGAUUGGUGCUUACAUCAUGAUUUACAUUUGCGUGAGUGGCGAACUGGUGAGUAACACGUGGGAAACCUGCCCAGAAGCGGGGGAUAACACCUGGAAACAGAUGCUAAUACCGCAUAACAACUUGGACCGCAUGGUCCGAGCUUGAAAGAUGGCUUCGGCUAUCACUUUUGGAUGGUCCCGCGGCGUAUUAGCUAGAUGGUGGGGUAACGGCUCACCAUGGCAAUGAUACGUAGCCGACCUGAGAGGGUAAUCGGCCACAUUGGGACUGAGACACGGCCCAAACUCCUACGGGAGGCAGCAGUAGGGAAUCUUCCACAAUGGACGAAAGUCUGAUGGAGCAACGCCGCGUGAGUGAAGAAGGGUUUCGGCUCGUAAAACUCUGUUGUUAAAGAAGAACAUAUCUGAGAGUAACUGUUCAGGUAUUGACGGUAUUUAACCAGAAAGCCACGGCUAACUACGUGCCAGCAGCCGCGGUAAUACGUAGGUGGCAAGCGUUGUCCGGAUUUAUUGGGCGUAAAGCGAGCGCAGGCGGUUUUUUAAGUCUGAUGUGAAAGCCUUCGGCUCAACCGAAGAAGUGCAUCGGAAACUGGGAAACUUGAGUGCAGAAGAGGACAGUGGAACUCCAUGUGUAGCGGUGAAAUGCGUAGAUAUAUGGAAGAACACCAGUGGCGAAGGCGGCUGUCUGGUCUGUAACUGACGCUGAGGCUCGAAAGUAUGGGUAGCAAACAGGAUUAGAUACCCUGGUAGUCCAUACCGUAAACGAUGAAUGCUAAGUGUUGGAGGGUUUCCGCCCUUCAGUGCUGCAGCUAACGCAUUAAGCAUUCCGCCUGGGGAGUACGGCCGCA
rnacentral:rRNA from 1 species